UAUAAAACAUUUUAAGAUCGCUCUCAUACAAUAUAUAAGAAUUUGUAAUCUAGAAAUCGUACCUUGAAAAUCCGAUUUGGCUUUUUCCACUGAAUUGAUUUAGGCUCCCAGAUCACGAUCCGUCACCACCACUCCUGUUAGAUCACGAUCCGUCACCACCACGCUUGUUAGAUCACGAACUGUUACCAAUGAUCUUCCAGGUUAUGAUUCAGGUUUGAUCUGCACUUGACGUGUGGGUGCCUUUAUCACUACCAAAGCAGCUAGCACGAGAAAAUUUUUCUCUCAACAAUAGAGAGAAAAAUCUUUUUCUCUGAUCUGUAUAAAGUAGCUGCUCCCCUUUUCUUUAGAGAAAAUAAACCUUUUUAUAUCUCCCUUUAGUGAAAACCCUAGACUCCAAAUAAUGAAAAUCAAAACUCACGUUACUUGCUUUUUCUAUAGGGGAUCCACCUUGUAAAAUAACAUAAGGCCCCUUACACACAAGCUAAUAAAAUAGAGCCUCCCACUAAAUGAUAUAUUUAGGUUUUUGACCCAAAUAACCAGUUAUCUUUUUUAUUAAUCCAGUAGUGGUGCAGUCAAUUAAAUGAGCUAACCAGGGGAUCAUUUGGGAACAUACAAUAGUGGCUAUAACAAUUAAGCAUGUAAUUAAAAUAGCCUAAUUUUUUAAUUCCAAAUCUACUCCACUAAAAGAUUGGAAUUGACCUCCAUAAUUGUAUACUCGAAUAAUAAUUCGUCCCAAGCCACAUUGAUUUCUUUACUGCACAAUCCUUUGUACCACAUCAUUAAUUAAAUCGAUAUCUCAACUGUCCAAUCAAUUUAAUUACAUCUUGUUCCUUAAUACUUACUGGUUUUCUCUAAUGAUCAUUUUCAACAUACUAAAUAUGUUGACACACUCUGGCUAGAGAAUUCUAUGAUCAAGUACCGAAAACCCAUCAAGAGAUAUGUUGUACAAAUUAUUGUUAAUUCAUAACUCCAAUCCUCAUAAUUGCUCCCACCAAGAUACCGGGUAAUCUUGACCACAAGUAUUUGUCGUGCCCAUUGGUAACUCAAAUGGAAUAACAAUUACAAUCAUGAAAUCGUAAUUAACUCAAGAUUAAGAUUACAGUAAAAUCAAUGCCUAUGAGAUUUAAUAAGUAUGACAGUUAUUACAAAGUUAAUUAAAUCUCAUAUGUGAUCAUGUUCAAUGUAGGCGUACUACAUCAAUAAAUUCAUACAUGAUUAAGACAAAUCAUUCAAUGAAUUCAUUACAGUCUAUACCUAAAUAAAGUGCCCAACUUUAUUUAUCAACUGCGAACUAAAUUUAUUUAAUCAUAAGAUAACUUGUAUUUAUGUCUUCUGUGAAUCCACAUAGUGAUCACAUAAAUACAUAUACUAUGAUUAAAUAGAUUUUAAUCAAAAUAUUAAUUUAAUUAAGAUAUUUGAAUAAAAUACCUCAUUUAUUUUAUUAAUUAGAAAAAUUAUUUAUUACAAUUAAAUAAACACAUAUGUUUUUAAAGAGCACAUUUUCCCAACAAUCUCCUAAUAGCUCUCAAAGCAUAUUUGGCAUCUCACGCAUGCCCAUGGAUUCUAAGUGCAAGUUAAAAGGUUUCCCAGGUAUGGCCUUAGUAAAAGGAUUUGCCAAGUUUUGCUCUGACGCAAUCUGAGUAACCUCCACAUCACCUCUCUGCACUAUAUCCCUUAUAAGAUGAUACUUCCUCUCAAUAUGUUUUGUUUCUUGUGGUUCCUUGGUUCCUUAGAUUGAGCUACUGUACCACUAUUAUCGCAAAGUAGUUUAAGGGGUGCAGUUAUAACAGGUACCACCUCAAGAUCUUGUAGGAACUUGCGGAGCCAUACAACUUCUUUUGCAGCUUCGGAUGCAGCCAUAUAUUCAGCUUCAGUUGUGGGGUCUGCGAUACAAGAUUGUUUCACACUCCUCCAACUAAUAGCUCCACUUCCCAAUGUAAACACAUAGCCGGAAGUUGAUUUUCUGGAAUCCUUAUCUGACAUAAAGUCAGAAUCAGUAUAACCCAUUGGAAUGAGUUCAUCACCAGAAUACACAAGCAUAUAAUUUUUAAUUCUUUUCAGAUACUUCAUUAUAUGCUUGACCGCAGACCAGUGUUUAGGUCCAGGAUUAGAUUGAUAUCUACUAACCAUCCUUAUUGCAAAACAAAUGUCUGGCCUAGUGCAAAGCAUGGCAUACAUGAGACUUCCCACAGCUUCUGCAUAGGGAGCUUGUCUCAUUUUCUCUAUCUCUUCAGAUGUUUUAGGUGAUUAAUCCUUAGAGAAUGUAAUUCCAUGUCUGAAUGGUAAUAAACCAGUCUUGGAAUUUUCCAUGCUAAAUCUAGCUAAUAUCUUAUCGAUAUAGACCGCUUGAGACAAGGCUAAAGUUUUAUUCUUCCGGUCUCGUACUAACUUGAUAUCAAGAAUAUAACUUGCCUCUCCUAGGUCUUUCAUAUCAAAUUGUUUUGCUAACCAACUCUUUGUUGUAGUCAAUACUCCUAUAUCAUUUCCAAUUAGGAGAAUAUCGUCUAUAUAAAGAAUUAGGAAGGCUACAUAUUUUUCUUGAAUCUUCUUGUACACACAUGGUUCAUCAAUGUUCUGAAUGAAUCCAAACGAUUUAAUCGCUUGAUCAAAUAUGAUGUUCCAUGACCGGGAUGCUUGCUUCAAUCUAUAAAUGGAUCUCUGCAACUUACAUACCAUGUGUUCUUGGCCUUUUUGUAUAAAUCCAUCUGGUUGCUGCAUAUAGAUGUUUUUUUCAAGAUGCCCGUUAAGAAAGGCAGUCUUGACAUCCAUUUGCCAAAUUUCAUAAUCUAGCACUGCAGCAAUAGAGAGCAGAAUCCUGAUGGAUUUAAGCAUAGCAACCGGAGAAAAAGUUUCCUCAUAAUCGAUUCCCUCUUUCUGAGUAAACCUUUUGGCUACCAAUCUUACUUUAAAUGUUUCCACCCUUCUGUCUACUUCUCUUUUUCUCUUGUAGAUCCACUUGCACCCUAUAGGUUUUACCCCAUUUGGUGCCUCAACAAGUUCCCAGACUUUAUUGGAAUACAUAGAUUCCAUUUCUUGAUUCAUGGCCUUUUUCCAAAAUUCAACAUCUCUAUCUAUUAGAGCUUCAUUGUAACUAGUGAGAUCUUGUACAUGUUCAUAUGAGAUAGCUGUAUAGGUUUCUCCCAAAAGUAUGUAUCUCAUAGGUAACCUAGUUACCCUCCCACUACGACGAGGUUCUAAAAGUGAUGGUUGUUCAGGGAUAAUCCUGUAUUGAUCAUCUGGUUGUUGAUGUUCUUCCUGUUCUGUAACAGGCGUUGAAAGCUGACCAUCAACUUGAUCACCUGACAGUUCUUCAAGUAUUACCUUACUCUUAGGUUUAAAGUUAUUCAUAUAGUCUUCCUCGAGGGAAGUGAAAUGUGUGCUCACGAUCACUUUCCUAUCUUGAUGACUAUAAAAUAAACCUCUCCUUGUUCCUUUGGGAUACCCCACAAACAUACAAAUCUCAGAACGUGAAUCCAUUUUGUCUGCCUUUGGUUUCAGUACAUGUGCUGGUGAUCCCUAAAUACGAACAUGUCGUAAACUUAGUUUGCGACCUGACCAUAAUUCUAUUAGGGUUUUAGGCACUAACUUAGAUGGAACUAAGUUCAAGAGGUAAACUGCAGUUUCUAGUGCUAGUCCCCAAAAAGAGAUUGGUAAUAACGAAUAACUAAGCAUAGAUCUCACCAUAUCCAAAAGAGUUCUAUUUCUUCUUUCAACUACCCCAUUUUGUUGUGGUGUUCCCGGGGCAAUCAACUGAGAUAUAAUCUCAUUUUCAACCAGAUACUCUUUGAAAUCUCCUGAGAGAAAUUCACCACCUCGAUCAAAUCGAAGUUUCUUUAUGUUCUUAUCUAAUUGCUUUUCUGUCUCAGCCUUAUACUCUUUGAAUUUCUCAAGAGCUUCAGACUUAUGAUGCAUCAGAUAAACAUAAUCGUAUCUCGAGUAAUCAUCAGUGAAAGUGAUGAAAUACUCAUAACCUCCUCGAACUUGUACAUUGAUUGGUCCAUAUACAUCUGUAUGAACUAAGUCAAGUGGUACUGUUGCACGUACUCCUUUGGCCGAGAAUGGCCUUUUGGUCAUUUUCCCUUCUAAAUAGGAUUCACAGAGUGGAAAUGAUUCAUUUUCUAAUGGACCCAAAAUCCCAUCUUUGAUCAUUCUCUGUAUCCUAUUUUGGUUUAUAUGACCCAAACGUAAAUGCCAGAGGUAACAUUGGUUGGAAGAAAUAUUUAUUUUCUUAGAUAAAUGUGUAUGCUCAUCAUUAUUUAUCACUGUGUCGUGCAUAGAAUGGAUCAUUGGACUUAAAUGAUAUAAAUUAUCUUCCAAUGUACCAGAACAAAUAAGUCUUUUAUUAUAAAAAAUAAAAACAGAGGAUCCAAAAUUUACAGUGUACCAUUGCUUUGACAAACAAGCUACUGAAAUUAAAUUCUUCUUUAUGUCUGGAACAUAAAGAAAAUUAUUCAAAAUUAAAGUCUCAUUAUUAAAAGAUAAUAAAACAGAUCCGGUCUUCACUGCUGACACGAACUAUCUUGUCCCUAACUGCAGCUUGACGCUUCCUUCACUUAUUUUCCUGGUUUCCUGAAACCAAUAAAGUGAAUUACAAAUAUGAUUAGUUGCUCCUGAAUCCAACACCCAAGUGUCAAUAGGAUUCUGAACUAAACAUGCCUCAAUUACAAAAAGAUUUCCCAUACCUGAUUUCACAAUCGUAGGGCAAUCCUUUUUCCAGUGACCUUUCUGUCCACACUUGAAGCAUUUGCCUUUUGGAAUUGACCUCCAUAAUUGUAUGCUCGAAUAAUAAUUCGUCCCAAGCCAUAUUGAUUUCUUUACUGCACAAUCAUUUGUACCACAUCAUUAAUUAAAUCGCUAUCUCAACUGUCCAAUCAAUUUAAUUACAUUUUGUUCCUUAAUACUUACUGGUUUUCUCUAAUGAUCAUUUUCAACAUACUAAAUAUGUUGCACACUCUGGCCAGAGAAUUCUAUGGUCAAGUGCCGAAAGUCCAUCAAUAGAUGUGUUGUACAAAUUCUAUAUUGUUAAUCCAUAACUCCAAUACUCAUAAUUGCUCCCACCAAGAUACCGGGUAAUCUUGACCACAAGUAUGUGUCGUGCCCAUUGGUAACUCAAAUGGAAUAACAAUUACAAUCAUGAAAUCAUAAUUAACUCAAGAUUAAGAUUACAGUAAAAUUAAUGCCUAUGAGAUUUAAUAAGUCUGACAGUUAUUACAAAGUUAAUUAAAUCUCAUAUGUGAUCCUAUUCAAUGUAGUCGUACUACAUCAAUAAAUUCAUACAUGAUUAAGACAAAUCAUUCACUGAAUUCAUUACAGUCUAUACCUAAAUAAAGUGCCCAACUUGAUUUAUCAACUGCGAGCUAAAUUUAUUUAAUCAUAAGAUAACUUGUAUUUAUGUCUUCUGUGAAUCCACAUGGUGAUCACAUAAAUACAUAUAAUAUGAUUAAAUGGAUUUUAGUCAAAAUAUUAAUUCAAUUAAGAUAUUUGAAUAAAAUACCUCAUUUAUUUUAUUAAUUAGAAAAAUUAUUUAUUACAAUUAAAUAAACACAUAUGCUUUUAAAGAGCACAUUUUCCCAACAAUAUGUUGGAUCAUAAACUUGAUCCAUACAACUUUGAAACGCAAAUGACUCUUGAUCUAGUUCAUGCAAGCUUCUUUGGGUAGUUAAGAUUUGGGGUGUUAAAUGUGGUAAUAUGGGAAGUAGAAUUUGUGGUGUUGAGUAUGUUGUUAGGUUUGGUUUGUGGUUAUGAUUUAUGUGGUAGUUAAGUCAACGUAUGGUUGUGAUUAAAUUGUAACAAGUAUAAAUAUCUACUCUCUCAGUUGGUUUAAGUAACAAGAAGUAGUAAAGCUUAUUAAUUGCAAAAGAGUCGUAAUUAAGGAGUUAUAUUGAGUUAAUAAGAAAAGAGUGUUUUGAGUGUUUGAUUAUUCAAAUUCUCUACUAUUAUGUUCAUGAACUGACUUAAAAUCCUACAACUUAAGGGCAUUCCAUUCAUUACAAGUAUUUGGAAGAAUUACUAACCUUAAAUUACUAUAUCUCUCAUCAAGCUAUUUCAUAUGACAUAUAUGUCCUUUAUAGGAAGAUAUCUUGUUUUGAGUGCUAGAUGGAGAUGGUGACAUUGAUAAAUCGUGGUCUUCUCUUGAUCUUGAAGAGAUGAGUCAUUAUUAUUUUUCAUUGUAUCACUAAGCAUCAAGAUAAAUUUCAGCAACAUCAAGUAUUUUUGGAAAUCCUUCUUGUUCUUGUUUUUUUAUUUCUUUUUUUUGUCAAGAUGACCAUUUUUUCCCCGAAUGUUAUCGAGGGCAAAUAAAGCAUAUAUGCUUAACAUUGAAUAUAUUUUUAUAAAUAAAAGCUAACACGAACGUUAUGCCAAAGAAUCUGUUUAUAGGUAAACUAGGCCCAUUUAGGAUAGUAGCGUUGCCGAACAAGGCUUUGAUUUGAUUACUGUAAGUAUAUACUAAAUAUUUUUA
rnacentral:lncRNA from 1 species